UGGGGAAUAUUGCACAAUGGGCGCAAGCCUGAUGCAGCCAUGCCGCGUGUGUGAAGAAGGUCUUCGGGUUGUAAAGCACUUUCAGCGGGGAGGAAGGCGGUGAGGUUAAUAACCUCAUCGAUUGACGUUACCCGCAGAAGAAGCACCGGCUAACUCCGUGCCAGCAGCCGCGGUAAUACGGAGGGUGCAAGCGUUAAUCGGAAUUACUGGGCGUAAAGCGCACGCAGGCGGUCUGUCAAGUCGGAUGUGAAAUCCCCGGGCUCAACCUGGGAACUGCAUUCGAAACUGGCAGGCUAGAGUCUUGUAGAGGGGGGUAGAAUUCCAGGUGUAGCGGUGAAAUGCGUAGAGAUCUGGAGGAAUACCGGUGGCGAAGGCGGCCCCCUGGACAAAGACUGACGCUCAGGUGCGAAAGCGUGGGGAGCAAACAGG
rnacentral:rRNA from 1 species